rnacentral:rRNA from 1 species
GAUGAACGCUGGCGGCGUGCCUAGUACAUGCAAGUCGAGCGAACAGACGAGGAGCUUGCUCCUCUGACGUUAGCGGCGGACGGGUGAGUAACACGUGGAUAACCUACCUAUAAGACUGGGGUAACUUCGGGAAACCGGAGCUAAUACCGGAUAAUAUAUUGAACCGCAUGGUUCAAUAGUGAAAGACGGUUUUGCUGUCACUUAUAGAUGGAUCCGCGCCGCAUUAGCUAGUUGGUAAGGUAACGGCUUACCAAGGCAACGAUGCGUAGCCGACCUGAGAGGGUGAUCGGCCACACUGGAACUGAGACACGGUCCAGACUCCUACGGGAGGCAGCAGUAGGGAAUCUUCCGCAAUGGGCGAAAGCCUGACGGAGCAACGCCGCGUGAGUGAUGAAGGUCUUCGGAUCGUAAAACUCUGUUAUUAGGGAAGAACAAAUGUGUAAGUAACUAUGCACGUCUUGACGGUACCUAAUCAGAAAGCCACGGCUAACUACGUG